rnacentral:rRNA from 1 species
AUUGAACGCUGGUGGCAGGCCUAACACAUGCAAGUCGAACGAGUGGCUUACGGGUGAGUAAUGUCUGGGAAACUGCCUGAUGGAGGGGGAUAACUACUGGAAACGGUAGCUAAUACCGCAUACCAUCAGAUGUGCCCAGAUGGGAUUGGCUAGUUGGGGGGGUACCGGCUCACCAAGGCGACGAUCCCUAGCUGGUCCUAGAGGAUGACCAGCCACACUGGAACUGAGACACGGUCCAGACUCCUACGGGAGGAAGCAGUGGGGAAUAUUGCACAAUGGGCGCAAAGCUGAUGCAGCAAUGCCGCGUGUAUGAAGAAGGCCUUCGGGUUGUAAAGUACUUUCAGCGGGGAGGCGUUACCCGCAGAAGAAGCACCGGCUAACUCCGUGCCAGCAGCCGCGGUAAUUC